UGCCUUUGUGUUGCCCAUUCAUUCAUUCCUUCAGUGAAUGUGGUGUCAGAAAAGGCAUACAUUAACUGUAGCUGUCAUGUUGAAGAUCAGGUUAUGUACCUUGUCUGCCUUUCAGCUAGAACAUAA
rnacentral:snoRNA from 1 species